ACACAGUGGAGGUCAUUAAACAGAACCUGCUCCAGUGCGCCAUGCCCACAUCCUGAACAAUAGUUUCUUGUUUUGUUUUCUUUCUUUUUUUUUUUUUAAACCACUUGCUCAUUUAGGUUCUUCCAGCCAGAAGGGAAAAAAAAAGCCAAAUCUGUCCACAAAAUGUCCUCCUAGCCACGGUGCCCAAAUCCACAGCCUGAGUAAAGGCCUGAAAUAGUUAAAUAAAUAGAAGAGCAACCCAGGCUCUUCUCUCCAGAAAAGAAAUGAAAAGACGUUUCAGACAGUCCCAUGGUGCUCUCCCGUGAGGUGGAGACCUUCCGUUUGAAGUUUCCAAGAGGUUUCACCGCUGUCCCAUAUGGGGGUCUUGAAAAACACUCCAACGCCCACCAUUUAACCUACUUCACCAAGGCUUGCUGCCCGAAAGGAAGCCCGCUGCCUCCAAUGCCAAGAAACCUGGAGCAGCUUCUUGGAACCCCUGACGGCCACGUCGUGAUGGGAAACAACAAGGAGAAAGGGCGAGCGCCCCAGCACACUGGUGAAGAUGGCAAGCAGCUCCUCCAAGGUCACGCUGAUCAGCUGAGCUGGGCUCGGACACGGCCUGCACACUAGCUGGAGAUCCUGGCCGGGAGGACGUCGGAUCUCGUUGUUAUCCCAAUCUUUCGACCCUCCCCCAAAGCCCCUCAAUAAAGUGCAUUGAUCUCAGCAUUGGUGUCUUUCUUUUUUUCCGACGCGCUGCCUUUGAGCCCCCGUUGCGCCUGCGCGUGGCGCCGGGGGUCAGGCUGCAGCGCCAGAGCACGCGCUUGCGCAUAACUGGGGCCGUCUGUUCCCGCGGCGGGGGGCCCUUUU
rnacentral:lncRNA from 1 species